AACGAACGCUGGUGGCAUGCCUAAUACAUGCAAGUCGAACGAGAAAGCACCUUCGGGUGUGAUUAGAGUGGCGAACGGGUGAGUAACGCGUAAGUGAUAUGCCUUUUAGUGGGGGACAACAUCGUGAAAACGGUGCUAAUACCGCAUAAGCUUGGUGAGAUUGAAAUAACCAAGGAAAGGGGGCUUCGGCUCUCGCUGAAAGAUUGGCCUGCGUAGCAUUAGCUUGUUGGUGGGGUAAUGGCCUACCAAGGCGACGAUGCUUAACUGGUCUGAGAGGAUGAUCAGUCACACUGGAACUGAGACACGGUCCAGACUCCUACGGGAGGCAGCAGUAGGGAAUAUUGCGCAAUGGAGGAAACUCUGACGCAGCAAUGCCACGUGAGUGAGGAAGGUCUUCGGAUUGUAAAGCUCUGUCCUAUAGGAAGAACUGCUAUAUGGUUAAUACCCAUGUAGUUUGACGGUACUAUAGAAGAAAGCACCGG
rnacentral:rRNA from 1 species